UACGUAGGGGGCAAGCGUUGUCCGGAUUCAUUGGGCGUAAAGAGCGUGUAGGCGGCCAGAUAGGUCGGUUGUGAAAACUGGAGGCUCAACCUUCAGAGGUCGACCGAAACCAUCUGGCUAGAGUCCGGGAGAGGAGAGUGGAAUUCCUGGUGUAGCGGUGAAAUGCGCAGAUAUCAGGAAGAACACCCGUGGCGAAAGCGGCUCUCUGGAACGGUACUGACGCUGAGACGCGAAAGCGUGGGGAGCGAACAGG
rnacentral:rRNA from 1 species